rnacentral:rRNA from 1 species
UAAUACGGAGGAUCCAAGCGUUAUCCGGAAUCAUUGGGUUUAAAGGGUCCGUAGGCGGUCAGAUAAGUCAGUGGUGAAAGCCCAUCGCUCAACGGUGGAACGGCCAUUGAUACUGUCUGACUUGAAUUAUUAGGAAGUAACUAGAAUAUGUAGUGUAGCGGUGAAAUGCUUAGAGAUUACAUGGAAUACCAAUUGCGAAGGCAGGUUACUACUAAUAUAUUGACGCUGAUGGACGAAAGCGUGGGUAGCGAACAGGAUUAGAUACCCUGGUAGUCCACGCCGUAAACGAUGGAUACUAGCUGUUGGGAGCAAUCUCAGUGGCUAAGCGAAAGUGAUAAGUAUCCCACCUGGGGAGUACGAACGCAAGUUUGAAACUCAAAGGAAUUGACGG